rnacentral:rRNA from 1 species
CCGGCGCACGGGUGAGUAACACGUAUCCAACCUGCCGUCUACUCUUGGACAGCCUUCUGAAAGGAAGAUUAAUACAAGAUGGCAUCAUGAGUCCGCAUGUUCACAUGAUUAAAGGUAUUCCGGUAGACGAUGGGGAUGCGUUCCAUUAGAUAGUAGGCGGGGUAACGGCCCACCAAACCGACGAUGGAUAGGGGUUCUGAGAGGAAGGUCCCCCACAUUGGUACUGAGACACGGACCAA